GAUGAACGCUGGCGGCGUGCCUAAUACAUGCCAGUCGAGCGAACAGACGCGGAGCUUGCUCCUCUGACGUUAGCGGCGGACGGGAGAGUAACACGUGGAUCACCUACCUAUAAGACUGGGAUAACUUCGGGAAACCGGAGCUAAUACCAGAUAAUAUAUUGAACCGCAUGGUUUAAUAGUGCAAGCCGGUUUUGCUGUCACUUAUAGAUGGAUCGGUGCCGGAUUAGCUAGUUGGUGGGGUAAAGGCUUACCAAGGCGACGAUGCGUAGCUGGUCUGAGAGGACGGCCAGCCCAACUGGGACUGAGAACCGGUCCCAAAUCCUAAGGGAGGGAGCAGUGGGGAAAUUUGGCGCAUGGGGGCAAGCCUGAUCCAGGCAUCCCGCGUGGAGGAAGAAGGCCUUCGGGUUGUAAAAUCCUUUUGUUGGGAAAGAAACGAAUCUGGUAAAUACCAUGCGCUUCUGACGGUACCCUAAGAAGAAGCCCCGGCUAACCUCGUG
rnacentral:rRNA from 1 species